GCCUCGUAUCAGGCAGCAGCCCUUUGUCUUAAAUAUUGAUAAGGGGAGGAAAGUCCGAACGCUUACCCUGAUUUAAGGGUUAAAAAGGUAGCGGGUAACGCCCGUCGUGGGCAACCACAGAGGUGCGAGCAGAGACGCCACGCAACGAAAGACGCAUGGGCGCUUCUUGAAAAAGGAGCGUAGUCCCGCGCAAGCGGGGGUGAAACGGCUAAAUCCUUACCCAAGUGCAAGGCCGUGUGCCAGUUUUGUACCAUUUUCUGCGGGCAAAAUUGGUAAGUGCCGCUCGAUCCCGGCAGUAAUGUCGGGACCAGAUAAAUUACUGCCGUAUGGUCAACAUGAUGGCCAUAAACAGAAUUCGGCUUAUCGAUACGAGGUUCAC
rnacentral:RNase_P_RNA from 1 species